GCAGGCUCGGCCCUGCUGCUAGCUGAGUGCAAUCAUCAUUCUCACCGCAGCUCGCCGCGCCUGAGCAGCGACGCGCACACGCCUCUCGCCUUCAUGUAUGCCACCUGAACAACCGCUAAGCAGGACGCCCACCGCCCGUCAAUGCC
rnacentral:rRNA from 1 species